UACGGAGGUGGCAAGCGUUGCUCGGAAUCACUGGGCGUAAAGGGCGCGUAGGCGGGGGAGGUAAGUCGGGUGUGAAAUCCCUCGGCCCAACCGAGGAACUGCGCCCGAGACUGCUCUCUUGAGUCCCGAGAGGAAGAUGGAAUUCCCGGUGUAGCGGUGAAAUGUGUAGAGAUCGGGAGGAACACCGGUGGCGAAGGCGGUCUUCUGGACGGUGGACUGACGCUGAGGCGCGAAAGCGUGGGGAGCAAACGGG
rnacentral:rRNA from 1 species